ACUAUCACGUGGCUGGUAGUUGGUAAUCUUUCCCCGGAGCUUAUUACAUUUGUUAAGUUAUCACUUGGUUGAUAGUUAGGUAAUAUUUCUUUUUACCUUUUGUUGGUUACCUUGUUAAGCUAUCACUUGACUGGUAGUUGGUAAUUUUUCCUUUUGGGCUUAUUACCUUUAUUAAGUUAUCACUUGGCUGAUAGUUAGGUAAUAUUU
rnacentral:lncRNA from 1 species